rnacentral:rRNA from 1 species
GACCCGUCUUGAAACACGGACCAAGGAGUUGAACAUGUAGGCGAGUCAUUUGGUUGAGACAGAAACCAAAAGGCGCAGUGAAAGCGAAACUAAUCGCCAAGAUCUGCUAGUCUACUGGCUGGCGGCGCAUUGGCGACUCGUCACAUUGUCGUGUGCAGGUGGCGAAGUUUGAGCCUACACGUUCAGACCCGAAAGAUGGUGAACUAUGCUCGAGCAGGAUGAAGCCAGAGGAAACUCUGGUGGAGGUCCGCAGCGAUUCUGACGUGCAAAUCGAUCGUCUGACUUGAGUAUAGGGGCGAAAGACUAAUCGAACCAUCUAGUAGCUGGUUCCCUCCGAAGUUUCCCUCAGGAUAGCUGGCACUGGAGGGCAGUUGUACUUCGAUAAAGCGAAUGAUUAGAGUGUUCUGGGUCGAAACGAUCUAAACCUAUUCUCAAACUUUAAAUGGGUACGAUCUCGAGCUCACUUGACUGGAGCUUGAGUGUGAAUGUGUGUAGUGCCAAGUGGGCCACUUUUGGUAAGCAGAACUGGCGCUGUGGGAUGAACCAAACGUCUGGUUAAGGUGCCGAACACUGACGCUCAUGAGAAACCAUAAAAGGUGUUGGUUGAUACAGACAGCAGGACGGUGGCCAUGGAAGUCGGAAUCCGCUAAGGAGUGUGU